rnacentral:rRNA from 1 species
CCUACGGGAGGCUGCAGUGGGGAAUAUUGGACAAUGGGCGAAAGCCUGAUCCAGCCAUGCCGCGUGUGUGAAGAAGGCCUUCGGGUUGUAAAGCACUUUCAGUGGGGAAGAAAGCCUUGGGGCUAAUACCCUCGAGGAAGGACAUCACCCACAGAAGAAGCACCGGCUAACUCCGUGCCAGCAGCCGCGGUAAUACGGAGGGUGCGAGCGUUAAUCGGAAUUACUGGGCGUAAAGCGCGCGUAGGCGGUCUGAUAAGCCGGUUGUGAAAGCCCCGGGCUCAACCUGGGAACGGCAUCCGGAACUGUCAGGCUAGAGUGCAGGAGAGGAAGGUAGAAUUCCCGGUGUAGCGGUGAAAUGCGUAGAGAUCGGGAGGAAUACCAGUGGCGAAGGCGGCCUUCUGGACUGACACUGACGCUGAGGUGCGAAAGCGUGGGUAGCAAACAGGAUUAGCUACCCUAGUAGUC